UAUUUUUUUUGGGUGGAAAAUGAAAUCCCACUAUAAAACCUUCCCAAAACACGGGAAAAGAAAGUUUUAUUUUAGGAAAAUGUCUUACCGUUUUUAUUUUGGUAAGACAUUUUCUAAAGCUUUUCUCUUCACCAUCAAUCACCCAAAAGCCCUUCCCCCUUCCCCCCUUCCUUUUGCUAUCCCUCUCCCUUUUUUUCCUUUGCAAAAAAAUGGAAAAAAAAAAUGAAAUGAAGUUUCUGGGUUUAACUUCUCUCAGCGUAAUUGCCAUCAAGGAUUAUAUGAGGAACCUGAGUCUGAUUUGAUAAUACCAACUCUUACGGAGCGAGAAGAAAGAGAAAAAGCAAGAGAAUGGUUUGCUAAGAGAGAGGAAAUUGCUCAAACUAUGUGGACUAAUUAUAUGGCUAGAAACAUUAGAUAGGUUUAGGGCUCAGGGUUAAUGUUUUUAUGUUAUGUAUGUUUUAACAUUAAAAUUUUUAUUUUUCUAAUGUUGGUUGGAUAUUGAUAUUGAAAUUAUUGACAAUGACAGUUAUUAAUGUAAAAUCAGUAAGGGCAAAAAAGAGGAGACAAUAAAACAAUUUCUGUUGAAACCA